rnacentral:tRNA from 1 species
GCACCUAUAGCUCAAUUGGAUAGAGCACCUGACUACGGAUCAGGAGGUUUGGGGUUCGAGUCCCUAUGGGUGCACCA